GCGAUAUUAACCCUCGAACUCCCUGCUGCUGUGAGAAAGUACUUUGCUGUCAUCCAAAUGUAUUGUACUUCCACACCAUUUAAGUGAUUCCACAAAAUGAUUCCCCAGCAGGCCAAAGCUCCGUCGGUCACCCUACCAGCUGCCCUUAAGCGAGUUUAGCCUGCGAGCGGAGAUGCACCUGAACAACAUGAAACUGGGAUUGCGGCGUUGGAGCUCCCUAAAUCUCCGUCCGUUCAACAGAUCAUUAAGGCCACACUGGGAAAAGGUUUGGAGAAAGCAGCUCACCACCUCCCAUGCAGCUUCCCCGAGGGGCAUUACCCUGAGCAAAGCAGAGGCUUUGUAAUCUGAGCCCAGCAGAUGCAUUGCUGCAAAAGUGCAAGAAAUUUCCAGAUUUUCAUCAAAACACUGAGAGCUGCUAUUCAUCAUUUGCUGUCUCAUGCAGAAUCUUUGGCCAGCAAGCAUGACAGUGGAGCUUUAAAAUACCUGGAGACCAAGCAGGGAAGAGGAGCAAAGCAUCAAGACCGGGAACCAGGACUGAAGUACUGGAUCCUGGUCAGACGUCCACAACCACCUGACCCUUCACCAGCCCUCCAGAAAUCCCGUAUAUGUGUGCCUUGCUGUGAUUAGUGGAAAAAAUAUUGACAGUGAACAAUGUGAGUGUGUGCUCAGUGAGUGAUUAAGAGGAAUGGCCCCUGAAGGUUGGGCUCAUCCACAAGGAGAAAGGACUGUAACACUCAGCUUCAAAAUACCGCUCUCUGGAAACCACCCCUCCAUACAAACACACUACCUGCCCCCAGACCAGGUUGUAACAAAACCCCAUAAUCAAGAGGGAACCCGGACCAGGGAGAAGAGAAAGCAGGCUCUAGGAGCGACAGGGGGCUCCACCGUCCCCCACCAGCAACCAGAACAGGGAGCCAAAACAAAUGCCAGUUGGCAUCACACCCCGUUCCAACACCAGUUUAGUGGACAAAGCUGUGAUUCAUUAAUAUGUUUGAACUUCUAAUUCGUCAAAUUAUACACCAUUCCAGACUAUACAUAUGCACAAUAAUGAUCAGCUUUGGGAAAAACAAAAUGUUUUUUUUUUUUUUUUACCCAAGAUGCGCAACAUAUUGAUACAGGCCAUUCAUAGAAACAAUUUUAUUGAUAAUGAAUUUGCUAACGACUUGACUGAUGUCCUACAUAACAUUGAAAAUGACACUUCUCAUCACUUUCACCCCAUUCCACUUAAGUGCUUCUAAGUGCCGAUGUAUGCAUGCCCUUGUACCCGUUGUUGUGUGUUGGCAGUUGUCACGCAAUAAACAGAUUGCAUGAG